GAGGGUAGAGCUCAGUGGUAGCGUGUGUACUUAGCAUGCAUGAGGUCCUGGGUUCAAUCCCCAGUUCUUUCA
rfam:Camelus ferus unplaced genomic scaffold scaffold400, whole genome shotgun sequence.